rnacentral:misc_RNA from 1 species
UAAUAAGUGUUUUAUGGCACUUUUUAAAUCCAUAUCCACCUUGUGUGCAAUGUCAGUCGGAUCUUCUUUUUGUCAAGAAAAGAGAUCGACCAAACAUCAACCUUAUUAUCUAUUGAACUCUUUGUCUGAAAAAUAUUAUGAAUAAACUAAUUCAAAAUA